rnacentral:rRNA from 1 species
UACGUAGGGGGCAAGCGUUGUCCGGAAUUAUUGGGCGUAAAGAGCGCGUAGGCGGUCCGAUAAGUCGGCUGUGAAAGUCAGGGGCUCAACCCUUGAAAGCCGGCCGAUACUGUCGGACUAGAGUCCGGAAGAGGCAAGUGGAAUUCCCGGUGUAGCAGUGAAAUGCGCAGAUAUCGGGAGGAACACCAAUGGCGAAGGCAGCUCGCUGGGACGGUACUGACGCUGAGACGCGAAAGCGUGGGGAGCGAACAGG